rnacentral:rRNA from 1 species
AGUUCGAUUCUGGCUCAGAUUGAACGCUGGCGGGAUGCUUUACACAUGCAAGUCGAACGGCAGCACGGACUUCGGUCUGGUGGUGAGUGGCUUGAACGAGUAAUGUAUCCCGGAACGUGCCUAGUAGCAGGGGAUAACUACGCGAAAGCGUAGCUAAUACCACAUACGCCCUUCGGGGGAAAGCGGGGGACCUUCGGGCCUCGCCCACUAUUAGAGCGGCCGAUAUCGGAUUAGCUAGUUGGUGGGGGGUAACGGCUCACCAAGGCGACGAUCCGUAGCUGGUUUGAGAGGACGACCAGCCACACUGCGGGACUGGUUACGGCCCAGACUCCUACGGGGGCGACAGUGGGGAAUUUUUGGACAAUGGGAAACCUGAUCCAGCCAUCCGCGUGUGCGAUGAAGGCCUUCGGGUUGUAAAGCACUUUUGGCAGGAAAGAAACGGCACGGGAUAAUACCCCGUGCAACGACAGCUACCUGCAGAAUAAGCACCGGCUAACUACGUGCCAGCAAACCAUGAUGAAACCACAGUGAGAUUGCAAGCGUUAAUCAAAUUACUGGGCGUAAAGCGUGCGCAGGCGGUUCCGGAAAAGAAAGAUGCUUAAAAUCCCAGAGCUUAACUUUGGAACUGCAUUUUAAUACGAGCUAGAGUGUGUCAGAGGAGGAAGGUGGAUUACGUGUAAACGGUGAAAUGCGUCCAGUCUGCGAAGAGAACACGAUGGCGAAAACCCAACCUCCUGGGAUAACACUGACGCUCGUAAAAGCGUGGGGAGCAAACGGGAUUAGAUGCCCUGGUAGUCCACGCCCCUAAGCAGCAAUGUCAUCUUUGUUGGGGCCUUCGGGCUGUGGCGAAACAGCUAACGCGUGGAAGUUGACCGCCUGCAGAAUACCGGUCGCAAGAUUACAAAAACUCAAGAUUGACAGGACCGCUGCCGAAAGCGGUGGGGUGAUCUUGGAUCAGUUCGAUGCAACGCGAAAAUAUUACCCAUGACAUGUCUGGAAUCCCGAAGAGAUUUGGGAGUGCUCGCAAGAGAACCGGAACACAGGUGCUGCAUGGCUGUCGUCAGCUCGUGUCGUGAGAUGUUGGGUUAAGUCCCGCAACGAGCCACAGCCCUUAUCGUGGAUUGCUACGAAGGGUACUCUAAUGAGACUGCCGGUGACAAACCCGGAGGAAGGUGGGGAUGACGUCCAAGUCCUCCUUGGCCCUUAUGGGUAGGGCUUCACACAUCAUACAAUGGUCGGGACAGAGGGUCGCCAACCCCUGAGGAAUAAUCCCAGAAACCCGAUCUGUGAUCGGAUCAGAUCUGCAACUCGACUGCGGUGGUCAGAAUGUGGUAAUCGCGGAUCAGCAUGUCGCGGUGAAUGCGUUCUGAAUGCUUGUACACACCGCCCGUGCACCAUGGGAGUGGGUUUUACCAGAAGUAGUUAGCCUAACCGUAAGGAGGCGAUUACCACGGUAGGAUUCAUGACUGGGGUGAAGUCAUCAAGAGUAAGGC